CACGGGUGAGUAACACGUAUGCAACCUGGCUGUCACAGGUGGAUAACCGGAAGAAAUUCCGACUAAUACAGCAUAAUACCCUGAGGGGACAUCCCCGUCGGGGUCAAAAGGAGGCGACUCCGGUGACAGAUGGGCAUGCGGCGCAUUAGGUAGUUGGUGAGGUAACGGCCCACCAAGCCGACGAUGCGUAGGGGUUCUGAGAGGAAGGUCCCCCACACUGGUACUGAGACACGGACCAGACUCCUACGGGAGGCAGCAGUGAGGAAUAUUGGUCAAUGGGCGCAGGCCUGAACCAGCCAAGUCGCGUGAGGGAUGACGGUCCUACGGAUUGUAAACCUCUUUUGUCGGGGAGUAACGUGCGGGACGUGUCCCGUAUUGAGAGUACCCGAAGAAAAAGCAUCGGCUAACUCCGUG
rnacentral:rRNA from 1 species